UGUAGGGAUUGUACAGCAAGUUUCCGAAGCAGUAGAGAGCGACUGGUUUUCCGUUGUCGCAUUUGUAGAACUGGUUGCAGUUUUCAUGUGCCACUAAAACACCGUCUGAUCCAUCUACUGCACAAAUAGAAGGUGCCUCAUCGGGUCUGCAGUUGCAGGUUCCGCUGCCUGGAGUGGAUGGAGAUGGAGUUGGUCCCGGGGUUGGUCCUGGAGUUGGAGUUUGACCUGGA